CAUCAACUGUGCCUGUGGAAAUCAGUCAACAAGGGGAGAGUUUUGGGAGGUCAUGAUCAUCCCAGCAUGGGCUGCAGACCCCAGCAGAUGAAGAAACCAAGCCCCAGACACGACUCUGGGGCAAGGCAAGGAUCUGGGCACACGUACCAUCACUGCUGUGCUCUGCCCUUGAGGUGUGUCAAGGACUGGACUCUGCCAUUGGUCCUAAAUGAGGAAAUUCUAGGAGGAUUUGAGGAUUCUUGACAUUAAUAUGCACUGCAAAAAUGCCGAGUAUCUCGAGUCGGUCAUCGCUGCCGGGAGGCUGCGGGUCACAGUGGCCACGGGAGAGCAGGAGGCGAGGACACGGCCACGCUCCAGGGGCACAGCGAGGCCCCAGGUUUGACAGGAUUUCCUCUCCGCGCCAUCUCUUCCCCAUGUCUUGACUCACACAUGUGCUCUCUGAGGUUAGCAGGAGUUUUCUCGGAGCUGGAGCAAAGCCCUGAUCCUGCACCGGGUUGUUGGCAGCGGGGAGUGGAAGUAGCUCUGCCAUCCAGGCUCUGCUCACGCCUGACGCA